UAACGGGAUGGGACGGUGAGGCGCCGCCUAUUUAGACUGUUGCUGGCCACAGUACGUGCCACUCGCACUCAGAAACCACAAGCCACUCGCCACAUGGAAAUGGACAAGCACGGUCGACCUCUGCUUGCUCUGCUUUCGCUACUCCUCUGCAUCUCCCUGCUCCGGGCCAGCUCGGCGGCUUCCGUCACCGCCGGCAACCCCGACGGCACGGAGCUCUGGGGAUUCGUCGAAGUCCGACCAAAGGCCCACCUGUUCUGGUGGUACUACAAGAGCCCCCAGAGGGUGUCGACGCCGUCCAGGCCAUGGCCGACCGUCCUCUGGCUACAGGGCGGUCCCGGAGCGUCGGGGGUGGGCAUCGGCAACUUCAUGGAGAUCGGGCCCCUCGACGUCAACCUGAAGCCUCGAAACUCGACGUGGCUGCAGAAGGCCGACCUCAUCUUCGUGGACAACCCUGUGGGGGUCGGGUACAGUUACGUUGAGGACGACAGCCUGCUGGUGACGACUGACUGGCAGGCGGCCACGGACGCCACCACGCUGCUCAAGGCGCUCGUCAAGGAGCUGCCCACCCUGCAGCAGGGGAGCCCCCUCUUCCUUGUCGCCGAGUCCUACGGCGGAAAGUACGCGGCCACACUCGGCGUCUCCGUCGCAAGGGCCGUCCGUGCCGGCGACCUCAAGAUCAAGCUCGCAGGCGUCGCGCUCGGGGAUAGCUGGGUCUCGCCGGAGGAUUUCACGCUCGCUUACGCGCCGCUGCUCCUGGAGGUUUCGAGGCUCGACGACAACGCCGGCGACGCCGCCAAGAAGAAGGCGGCGACGGUGAAGGAGCAAAUCGCGGCCGGGCGGCUGGCCGACUCGCAGGGGUCGUGGUCGGAGCUGUUGGAUUUCAUUGACUCCAAGAGCGCCAGCGUCGACAUGUACAAUUUCCUGCUCGACGCCGGCAUGGACCCGGUGGCGGCGGACCUACCGGCGACCUCGUCGGCUCCGACGACGUCGAGCAACGCGCAAGUGAUGAAGUACUCGACGUACCUCGGCGGCAGCCAUGAGGAAGCCGGCUCCAACACCACCAACACCCUCGGCGGCAUCAUGAACGGGGUCAUCAAGGAGAAGCUCAAGAUCAUCCCCAAAGACCACGAGUGGCACGAGCUGUCCGAUCCCGUCUACAACGCGCUGGUCAACGACUUCAUGAAGCCACGGAUCGACGAGGUUGACGAGCUGCUGUCUUACGGUGUAGAUGUCACGGUUUAUAAUGGCCAGGGCAUCGUCUGUGUGUGGUUAGAGGGCGCUCUUAAUGUUCUCGACGUGAUUUGCUCGACCAAGGGCGCGGAGGCAUGGGUGCAAAAGCUCAAAUGGGACGGGCUGAAGAACUUCCUGAGCCUGCCGCGGCAGCCUCUGUCCUGCGGAUCAUCCAAGGUCACCAAGGCCUUCGUCAGGUCCUACAAGAACCUGCAUUUCUACUGGAUCCUCGGCGCUGGCCACUUCGUGCCUGCCGACCAGCCUUGCAUUGCGCUGAGCAUGAUCGCUGGCAUAACCCACUCUCCAGCCGGCUAGGUGAGGAGGAGGACCCGGAUCAGAUCCUGUCUGCCGGGUAGGAAAAGGAAACUGAAGAUAGAAGUAUAGAAAGAAAGGUUGUGUGUACUUUAAAGGGCGAUGAAAUUGAUUGUAAGACAUUUGUAGAAAUGCGAUGUUCAAACAUCUCACACAGCGGUACAAAAGGCGAAAAGGUAUAACAUCAAAAUGGAAAGAACAUCUCCAACAACAGCCCUAUUUUAGGGCACCAAAAAGCUGUUGCAGUAAAAUUUAGAGGCACCAAAAGGUGAAUUUUAGGGCAUUCGAAAAUGUUCAUCUCCAACAACUGCCCUAAAAUAGGACACUUCAAACAUGCAAUGUUUAUACUA